rnacentral:lncRNA from 1 species
GUAAAACUUCCGAAGAAAACACUAAUCUUUCACUAGUUUAAACUAGGUAAUAGAAAGGAUGGGGUUACUGGGUUAACUAUAGCACUAUGCCCGAUUACUGAUAUUUUUACCGAUUUUGGGUAUAUAUUCCUUAUUGUUUUGCUUGUUGGAUUAGCAUAAUCAUUCAGUGCAAUCAGAACACUUCUUAUCAAUAGGGUUACAUAAUACAUGUCAUUUUGGUGCUUCAAUAUUGUUAAUAGGAAAAUAGAAGACUAGGCUAUACUUUAGUCUCUGAUUUUGUAACUCGGAAUAUUUUCAUUUCUUGGAUAAGGUGAUAUCUGUUUUGUUAUUUCUUUCUUUAUUG